rnacentral:rRNA from 1 species
GACGAACGCUGGCGGCGUGCUUAACACAUGCAAGUCGAACGGUGAAGCUCCAGCUUGCUGGAGUGGAUCAGUGGCGAACGGGUGAGUAACACGUGAGCAACCUGCCCCUGACUCUGGAAUAAGCGCUGGAAACGGCGUCUAAUACUGGAUACGAGAAGGGUCCGCGUGGGCACUUUCUGGAAAGUUUUUCGGUUGGGGAUGGGCUCGCGGCCUAUCAGCUUGUUGGUGAGGUAAUGGCUCACCAAGGCGACGACGGGUAGCCGGCCUGAGAGGGCGACCGGCCACACUGGGACUGAGACACGGCCCAGACUCCUACGGGAGGCAGCAGUGGGGAAUAUUGCACAAUGGGCGAAAGCCUGAUGCAGCGACGCCGCGUGAGGGAUGACGGCCUUCGGGUUGUAAACCUCUUUCAGCAGGGAAGAAGCGAAAGUGACGGUACCUGCAGAAGAAGCACCGGCUAACUACGUG